rnacentral:tRNA from 1 species
AGGGUAAGUAGUUUUCUAUUAUUGAUUUCUAAUCAAAUUUUAAAGCAGUUGGAUUCUGCUUUUACCCUU